UAUAUAUAUGCGUACAUGUACUUAUAAAAACGCAACAAGAUAUGUGAUAGUUUAUAAUUGCUCAUGCAUAAGAAUCAUUCGACAUUCAUUUUACAAAGUGGAAGUGAAGUGGAGUGAAAGAGAAGACGAAGUAAAAAAGAAAAAAAAUACAUUGUAUAAGAUAGUCGUAGAAUUUCCACUUAAGUCGCCACCGCUGUGUCCAUUUCGCUCAGACUUUUUUUAAACUUUGAGACGACGGUUAGGAAAAGUUUGAAUUUUGUAACGGUUUUUUUUUUUCUUUUCUUCUUUGUCGUCUAGGUCUCUCGGUAUGUACACGCCUCUGUCUGUUUAUUCGAAAUGCAUUUGUAUACAUGUGAAGCAUUGAUGUUUAAAAAAAAAAACACUAUGUCUGGACGUUAAUAAGCGAUUUAGCAAUUCUUAUACGUGAUAUUAUGUAAGGCAAAUGGUGUUUACGAUAGAUGCUGUGUAGUUUCUCGUCUGCUCUUUAUUCGCUUUUUUUCUCUUUUCUUCCUCUCCCCCCGCCUCCUCCUCCCCAUUCUUUCUCUCUCUCUUUCUCUUUCUCUCUCUCUCUCACCCUUGAACGUCACAGAUAAAUCAACCGUUAUUAAUGUCGCGUAAAUAUUCUAAAUGUUAGUAUUCCGAAAUCCCUUCCUUUCCAUCUCCCCAUUCGCAAGGAUUACGUAAAGACAGGAAAGCUUACUUGACUUAUGUGCUUCACCAAUAGAUGGCGGUAGUAAACAAAAAAAAAACGCCAUCUGUUGGCUGUACGUAUCAUUAGUAGAUAACCGUGUAUAAACGACCUCAUCUCUUUGUAGUACUAUUUCUUAGCUUUACCAAUAGAUGACGUUAGUACACCGAAAUCAACUAGCAGUUUGACCGUGUUUCAGUGAUAGAUGGUAGUGACAAUAAAAAUAUCAGCUAUUGUUUGUUACACUUUUUUACUCCACCAAUAGAUGGCGGAGGAAAGUGUCACUCUACCUAUUGGAUAUCUGUGUAAAUCAUAGAGCUUUCCUGUCUUCUCUAUUUGAUCUUUGUACCAUCGUGAUUUUUUGGGUUUUCUCAAUCCCAUCCGUUUGAUUGAAUAUUUAUUCAAAAUCUAUCAUCUAUAACCCGUUUUUCCCUGUCUAAUUUCUGUUCUUUUGUUCUGUUUACCUCAUCAAUCUAUUUUUUUUCCAUUUCCUCGUAUUUCUGUGUUUGCCAUGUCACCUAUUUUCCCAUUUUCUCAAUUUAUUUUUUCAUUUUCUUUUUUUUUUCCAACCUGAUGCCUGUAAUGUAUGUCACAGGUUAUAGAGAUGUAUGUCCACCCCUGUAUUUCUCUCUCUUUUUCUUUUAAUGUUUUUAUUUUAUUUUCAUGUAAUUGCACAUUUACACACCAAACAUUCAUGAUAUUUAAAACUAAAACAAAAUUAAUGAUAAAAUUAAAUUUAAAAAAUCUUUGGAAACCAUGUUUAUUUCUUACCUUUUUUGUUUCGUUAUUAUUUUUUGAGUUUCAUUUUCCACUUAUAUCCCGCGACCCUUUUAUUCUUCCUCCUUGACCUCUGACCUCGAUGCUUCAUGACCUCUCGUCGAAGUUGACCUUUUUUCAGUAAGACAUAAGCCUUUUUUUAUCCUUUUUUUCUAUUUCUCUGACUGUAGCUUCGGUCCAGUUUGCUACUAACCGCUUGCACUUGCUGGGUAUUUCGUAACCGGAAAACUUUUUGCUUUUUUUUUAUUUCCUGGAAAAAAAAAACACGAACGCCAGUAACUUUUUUAAAUGGAAGAACAAAACCUCUCUCUCUUUUUGGUGAUUCCAAUGCAUCGCUUCAGCUUAGCGCCCUUUUUGCCUGGUCUAGGGGAGACUUUUGGAAAAUUUUCUGUUACGUUUCCGCAUCUCUUCACUUACUGUUGGUAUUCGCAGACACACGCACACACGCUCUGUCUCACUCUUCUGUUUUAUAUCACUCUCUUUCUCACUGUGUGUGUGUGUGUACCUGUCACUAUCUCUCUCUCUCCCUCUCCCUCUCUUGGCCGUUUUUUGAAAAUCUUUUUUCUCCUCCCCCUCUCUCUCUCUCUCUCUCCCUCCCAGCCUAUACGUCCCUCUCUCAUGCCUGCCUGUUCUCUAAAUAACAAAACACCUUAACCUAGAUAUCAAACCUAUAGAAAAAAAAAAAAAUUGAAACUAACCCCCACCAGUCUAGCGUGAACCAGCACCCCCCCACCCCACUCCCCACUCCCUCCCCCCCCCCCUCCCAAUGGCUCGGGCCGCAUCGUCGCCCCCACAUCCAGCUGUAGCACACAAUGACCCAGCCCUGACGCCCCACAUCGCCCCCCCUGAGUUUGACAACUGCAGGCAGCUGAGCGACGACCUGCAGGUGGAGUGGCAGGCCCAGGAAGACGAAGUCCACAUCAGACUCACGGCCAAGAUGGACGAAGACCAGUACAUCGCUUUCGGACGUCCGAUCUGAUGACAAGCCAGAAAUGCUGAACAGUGACAUUGUGGUGGCCUAUUACGACCCAGAUGAUGGUUCCUUCCACGCCAUAGACUACAGUGUCACAGCAAGGUCGCAGGUAAGUGUUUUUAUUGAGAUUUUCU